rnacentral:rRNA from 1 species
UACAGAGGGGGCAAGCGUUAUUCGGAAUUAUUGGGCGUAAAGGGCGCGUAGGCGGCUUCGCAAGUGACGGGUGAGAUCCCUCGGCUUAACCGAGGAACUGCCUGUCAAACUGCGUGGCUUGAGACCAGGAGAGGUGAGUGGAAUUCCCAGUGUAGCGGCGAAAUGCGUAGAUAUUGGGAGGAACACCAGUGGCGAAGGCGGCUCACUGGACUGGUAAUGACGAUGAGGCGCGAAAGCGUGGGGAGCAAAAAGG